rnacentral:rRNA from 1 species
GACGAACGCUGGCGGCGUGCCUAAUACAUGCAAGUCGAACGCAGUGGGGACGGGUGAGUAACACGUGGGUAACCUCCCAUCAGAGGGGAUAACACUUGGAAACAGGUGCUAAACCGAUACUGCUGUAUGCACCCGCGGUGCAUUAGCUAGUUGGUGAGGUAACGGGUCACAAAGUCCACGAUGCAUAGGCGAGCUAAGAGGGGGAUGGGCCACACUGGAACUGAGAAACGGCCAAGACUCAUACGGGAGGCAGCAGGAGGGAAUCGUGGGAAAUGGACGAAAGGCUGACCGAGCAACGCCGCGUGAGUGAAGAAGGUUUUCGGAUCGUAAAACUAUGUUGUUAGAGAAGCGGUAAGUAAAGAGAAAGCCACGGCUAACUACGUGCCAGCAGCCGCGGUAAUUG